GACGAACGCUGGCGGCGUGCUUAACACAUGCAAGUCGAACGGAAAGGCCCUGCUUUUGUGGGGUGCUCGAGUGGCGAACGGGUGAGUAACACGUGAGUAACCUGCCCUUGACUUUGGGAUAACUUCAGGAAACUGGGGCUAAUACCGGAUAGGAGCUCCUGCUGCAUGGUGGGGGUUGGAAUGUUUCGGCGGUUGGGGAUGGACUCGCGGCUUAUCAGCUUGUUGGUGGGGUAGUGGCUUACCAAGGCUUUGACGGGUAGCCGGCCUGAGAGGGUGACCGGCCACAUUGGGACUGAGAUACGGCCCAGACUCCUACGGGAGGCAGCAGUGGGGAAUAUUGCACAAUGGGCGGAAGCCUGAUGCAGCAACGCCGCGUGCGGGAUGACGGCCUUCGGGUUGUAAACCGCUUUCGCCUGUGACGAAGCGUGAGUGGCGGUAAUGGGUAAAGAAGCACCGGCUAACUACGUG
rnacentral:rRNA from 1 species